UGGAGCAGUGGCUGCCGACUCGCAGUGAUCUUACCCCUCCAAGGGACAUUUCUGAAGGUCUGGAGCCGCUGUUGAUUGGCAAGGUUUAAGGAGAUGACUUGGACUCCCCAGAUUGCUUCUCCACUUACCUUCAGUUUCCAGUUCCGUCACCAGCCCAUGGAGUAUGGCGGGAGAGCCACUACCCGUUAGCCCCGGAGGAUGUGAUAAUAUUGCAGGACACCAGGAUAUGGUUGAACCAAUAUUCACCGACAGCCUAUUAUGUACCAGGUACUGGGCUACUUGCUCUUCCUCCACAAUGCCAGGCACACUGUAGUUUCAAGGUCUCUGUAUUUUUUGUUCCCUUUUCCUGAAAUGCUCCUUCACCA